AUACGGAGGGUGCAAACGUUGUCCGGAAUCAUUGGGCGUAAAGAGUUCGUAGGUGGCAUGUAAAGUCUGGUGUUAAAUGCAGAAGCUCAACUUCUGUUCGGCACUGGAUACUUGCAAGCUAGAAUGCGGUAGAGGUAAAGGGAAUUCCUGGUGUAGCGGUGAAAUGCGUAGAUAUCAGGAGGAACAUCGGUGGCGUAAGCGCUUUACUGGGCCGUUAUUGACACUGAGGAACGAAAGCCGGGGUAGC
rnacentral:rRNA from 1 species